rnacentral:rRNA from 1 species
AACGAACGCUGGCGGCAUGCCUAACACAUGCAAGUCGAACGAAGUCUUCGGACUUAGUGGCGCACGGGUGCGUAACGCGUGGGAAUCUGCCCUUGGGUGCGGAAUAACUUCUCGAAAGGGAUGCUAAUACCGCAUAAUGUCGUAAGACCAAAGAUUUAUCGCCCAAGGAUGAGCCCGCGUAAGAUUAGCUAGUUGGUGGGGUAAAAGCCUACCAAGGCGACGAUCUUUAGCUGGUCUGAGAGGAUGAUCAGCCACACUGGGACUGAGACACGGCCCAGACUCCUACGGGAGGCAGCAGUGGGGAAUAUUGGACAAUGGGCGAAAGCCUGAUCCAGCAAUGCCGCGUGAGUGAUGAAGGCCCUAGGGUUGUAAAGCUCUUUUACCCGAGAUGAUAAUGACAGUAGUCGGGAGAAUAAGCUCCGGACUAACUCCGUGCCAGCAGCCGCGGUAAU